UACGAAGGGUGCAAGCGUUGUUCGGAAUUACUGGGCGUAAAGGGCGCGUAGGCGGCUUAUCAAGUCAGGCGUGAAAUUCCCGGGCUCAACCUGGGGGCUGCGCUUGAUACUGAUGAGCUUGAAUGCGGGAGAGGAUAGUGGAAUUCCCAGUGUAGAGGUGAAAUUCGUAGAUAUUGGGAAGAACACCGGUGGCGAAGGCGGCUAUCUGGCCCGUGAUUGACGCUGAGGCGCGAAAGCGUGGGGAGCAAACAGG
rnacentral:rRNA from 1 species